GUUCAUGGGAUCAGAAGGAGCUGGACAUGGCUGAACAACAACAGACAAUGAGCCAGGCUACCUGGCUACAAGUGUUAAAUCUAAAUUAGGAUUCAGGCUUAAUUUCAGGCUUAGCUUUUUCUAUCUUGUCUGCUAAGGUCCAGGUUGCCAUUCCUCCAAGUACUUCUGAGUCCAAAUAGCUCCAUUCCUUUGAACAGGAUGACCCAAGCACUGACCCUACCUGGACCAGAACCAAAAUUGUCAUCAAAUAUAACUUGAUUAUUACUCUUUCAUUGACCCCCAUUUACAAUAACUCUUUUACUGAUCUAUGGCCUCUGUUUUUCUUAAAAAAAAAAAAGACAAAACAAAAAAUCUGCUAAGUUUUGUCUCCUCCAGAUGACAACAUACUUACAUCAAGAAAAUGAUGAUGCGGAGCAAAAACCCAUACCCCCCAGAGAGAUUACAGCCACUCCUUCGAACAGAUCAUGUAGGAAUAACCAGAAAAGUCACCUUAGGGCCCCUUUUUAAAACUAGGCAAGAGCUCCAUAACCCAAACUAGGUAGCAUCUACGAGUCCUGUGUCAGCACUAAAGAAGUUACGGAAGACUGACAAUCUACCCCUCAGAACCCCAAUAAAGAUUUGUGAGGUUCAUCUCUCAAUGAAAAUUUGAAGUAGGAGAUAGAUGGGCCCCUGGGCUGAACAGCUGGUGAUUGUCACAUGGAGGAAAACUGAACUUCAUUCCUCAGCCAGACAAGAAUGACAGCAAGUUCCCUCAUCCAUCAAUAAGGAGGAGAUAAACUGACAGAGGACCAGGAAGGAAUUCAAAAGCAGAAGAAAGUCUCCCAAGGAAGUGGCAAGGCCCUGCUCCCUUGUCUUCUCCUUCUAUACUCAGACACUGCCAGGGAAGGGACACCUGCCACCCAAGUCUAUGGGGUCUAUGCAAUGCCCGUGGCAUAUUGACCAGAAUAUGUGUGAAAGUCACCUUGUACACACGAACACGUCCCUGCCUGACUGUGCAAACCAGAGCCUCCUCCACUCCUAACUCAGCUUAAAGAACAGCCUCUGAACCAAUUACAACUGCGUGUUCAAACCUUGGGGUGUGACAUGGAUUAUGGAGUUUUCCUUUCCUCCAAUUCCUCCUUGAGAAUGAACUUGUGUCUUGCAGCAUCGAACAGGAGAUUUGAAUCCCUGAAGCAGGUCGGUGAGCUUAGAACUUCAACUCCACCCCCCAACCCCACACAAGUGUUAUCACCCUAGAGUGUUGAUCCAAGGCUGGCCUCACCUACCAUCUGCUGGUGCUUGUUCAGGGAAACUAACAAAAUUGAUGGGUGCCAGGGACCCACAUGUUUGGGGUGCUGAUGUUACUCUUGACAGUGCAGCUGACAACCAAUCAGUGGAUGCCUCACACGGGCCUUUGGAAUACCUGCCCUUUUGCUAUGUUCCUUCAGCCUUAACAGCAAGAUCGCUGAGAAUUCUGCCCUGUCAUGGAUUGGAGGCUGUAGGUUAUCCAGGGGCCGACUCCAGCAGGCUGCAAUCAAACUUACCAACAGUUGGCUGCCAUUUUGGUUCAGCUAACCAGAAACACCAGUAAGAGAUUAGAAUCUUGGAAGACAGAGCAAUCAAAGGUUUUUCUCCUUCCUCUGCAUCAGGUGACUUGUCUUUCAAUAGUUCCAUAUUCUCCAUGGCUCCAGCCAUUCAACCAUGAGGUUGACCCAUCAGGGCUCUGGAUCCAACACCCAGGUUCCAGUAACACGAUCUCCUUUCUUUGUCAUUUCAUCUCAGAGGUGACUGAUUUCCUCAUGUUGCUAAUAAUUGGGUUUCCCAAUUCUCUCCUGCUUGGCUACCUACCACUUUUGAAACCAACCCCAUGCAUUAAGUUUCCUCCAUGUUAAAUAUUUACAGUGGUUUCUAAUUUCCAGGACAAUCCUUGACUGUUACAUGCAACCAAUUAUAAUGACUGAUCUAGUGUUGAACUCUUUUGCAUUCUUGACAUAAACCCAGCUCUGUCACCA